GUCACACCCAGCUAGCUACCAUGGCAGCGGUGACCAUGAACUAUGAUCUGGAUCUGGGCAGCCAUAUACCCUGCUAUAUCUUGGGGUGAAAAUUAUUUUAUUACUAGAAGAAAGGGGGAAGUAAUGGAUAAUGGAGACAGUUAGCAAUCUUUUCACACUUUCUAACUCUGAGCCUUGUAUCCAAGUGUUGAAAGUUCAAAUGCCUUCACAGGGGCUAGGCAGGUGAUUAACUGAGUAAAGCAAUCUAAAAGGAGUGAGGUGACUGUGACAAAGUAGGAUGCACUGUGUCCUGUCUAAAGGGGGUAACAGUUACUUGAUCCCUUCCCCUUCUUCAUUAACAGAAUUCCAAGCUUGUUUGAGUGCCCAGCCUUGGAGCACAAAUCAUAAUUUUCUAUUAUCAAUCAUGAAAUUCUGUUUCUAGUGUCUUCAGCCUCCCCUGUGUCUGGGAAUCUCCAUAUGACUCAGCCAAUGGGAGAGUUAAGGAAGUCUGGCGGGGGACUUCUAGGAAAGCUUUUGUUUUCCUAGUAAAGAGUCAGCCAUGACUGGAGCUUUCCCAUACCAGUUCUUCCUGAUUUGAAUGUGGGUGAGAUGCCUGGAGCUGGGGCAGCCAUCAUAUGACCUGGGGUGGCAAGCAAGAGGGGAAAACCAAAAGAACUGUGGUGAUACUGAGCUAGAAAGAACUAGGGCCAGAACCUGCCUGACUCCAGACAUCUUGUCAUGUGAAUAACACAAAAAACCAAAACACCUAUUUGUUUAAUGAAACUUAAAAUUGGCUUAUCUGAACUUCAUGGCCGUUCAAAACUGAUCUAAUCCUUCCAGAUUUAUUUUUCAAGUUUCAAUUAUUUAUUAAUCAGGGUAAUCUCCAACACAUUACAUCAACAUGAUUUCAUGUAUUUAGAGGACAAAUAUUUCCUGAUUAAAUGGAAAAUUGUGCGGAUGGCUUCAGAAAGACCUUCAUUCGAAAGCAGCUUUAAUAGUGAAACACUUCAUUUACAAAUCUGGACCUUCUUUCUUCAGUUUGCUAUAAUCCACAUUCACUGAGUAAAACUUGGAUGGAUUGUUGGGACCCAGUUUGUUACAGGGCUCUGGGUUAUUCUUUCUUUCCUUUUUAUUUAUUUUUUUUUUUGAGACUGAGUCUCGCUUCGUCGCCCAGGCGGGAGCACAGUGUCACGAUCUAAGCUCACUGCAACCUCUGCCUCCAAAGUUCAAUCAGUUCUCUUGCCUCAGCCUCCCGAGUAGCUGGGAUUACAGGCACAUGCCACCACAUCCAGCUAAUUUGUUGUAUUUUUAGUAGAGACAGCGUUUCACCAUGUUGGCCAGGCUGGUCUUGAACUCCUGGCCUCAAGUGAUCUGCUCACCUUGGCCUCUCAAAAAGCUGGGAUUAUAGACAUGAGCCACCACACCAGGCCUCUGGGUAAUUCUUUCUGUCCUAACAUCCGGAUUGAACAAUGCCAGACUUAAGACAUACAAUGCUUUUCUAAUACCUCUAAAUCCAAUAAAUACAAAGAAGGGAUCAAGCUCAGAUGCUUCUUGGCCUGACUGAGGAUCUGCUGGAGCUUGUCUGCAGCAGAGGUCUCCCAUUCGAAAGGAGAGAACCAGCCUAGCUAUCAGGCCCUGGACUAAGUAGUAUCUGCCCCAGAUAUUUUAACAUGUAUAUUCACUUUGUAUAAAGAUGAAAUGCAUACGCUGCUUUGUAACUUAAAAAAGAAGUACUGGCCAGGUGUGGUGGCUCACGCCUGUAAUCCCAGCAGCUUGGGAGGCCGAGGCAGGCAGAUCACAAUGUCAGGAGUUCAAGACUAGCCUGGCCAAGAGACCAGCCUGGCCAAUAUGGUGAAACCCCAUCUCUACUAAAAAUAUAAAAAUUAGCCGGGCGUGGUGGUGUGCACCUAUAAUUCCAGCUACUCGGGAGGCUGAGGCAGGAGAAUUGCUUUAACCUGGGAGGCGGAGAUUGCAGUGAGCUGAGAUCACACCAUUGCACUCCAGCCUGGGCGACAGAGCAAGACAAGGCAUUUUUCAUUUUGAUGACUGCAGAAUAUCCACUGUAUGUGUAUAGCUUAGCAGCUAAUCAAUCCUUUAUCAUUGGACAUUCAGUUAGUUUACAGUUUAGCUGUUUUUAUUUUUGUUUUUGAGAGGGCAGUUUGCUAUUGUAAACAAUGCUGUAACGGACUACCUUUUAACUAAGCCUCUUCUUUUUUUUUUUUUGAGACACAGUCUCACUCUUGCCCAAGCUGGAGUGCAGGCUCGGCUCACUGCAACCUCCUUCUCCUGGGUUCAAGCUAUUCUCGUGCCUCAGCCUCCCAUGUAGCUGGGAUUAUAGGGAUGUGCCAUCAUGCCCAUCUAAUUUUUUUUGCAUUUUUAGUAGAGAUGGGGUUUUGCCAUGUUGACCAGGCUGGUCUCGAACUCCUGACCUCAAGUGAUCCACCUGUUUCGGCCUCCCAAAGUGCUGGGAUUACAGUGAGCCACCGCUCCCAGCCUUAACUAAGUUUCUUAAUAUACUCUUAUAAUUACAUUCUUGAUUAUUUUCUUAACUUUCCAGAAGUGAAAUGGCUGGGUCAGAAGACAAUAAAUAGCAAUCUCUUUUAAGUAAAAUGAUGCACUUGCUUUUGGUUCUGUUUCUGCUACUUUGAGUAAGUAAUCACUCAUUUAUUCAUCAUCCAUUCACUUAACAAGCACAAGAAGCACAGAGUAAAAUGUGGUCCUCGUCUUCAAGGAGCUCAUAAUGGAAUGGCAGAGGCAGGCAGGGCAACAGUUAAUGAGAAGGAGUGACAGUUGUGGUGGCGGCUUUCGACAAGGUUUCCAGUGAUCCCUGCUUCCUGAUAUUCAUGCCCUUGUGUAAUUCCCUACCCAUGAAUAUGGGCUGGACCUAGUGAAUUGCUUCUGAUGAAUGGAAUAUGACAAAAGUGAUAGGAUGUCACUUCUGUGAUUAGGUUACAAAGAACUGUGACUUCCAUCUUGGUAGCUCUCUCUCUCUUUUCCUUGCCCUCUCAUUUGCUUGGUCUGAUGAAGCCAGCUGCCACACUUACUUGAUGGAGAGGCCUAUGUAGCAGGGAACCCAGGGAGGCCUCCCGCUAGCAGCUCUUGAGGAACUGAGGCCUCAGUCCAACAGCCUGUGAGGAACUGAAUUCUGCCAACAAUCAUGUGAGCUAGGAAGCAGAUCUUUUCCAUUGAGCCUUCGCUGACCAAGGACUUAGCCAAGCCAUGCCUGGAUGCCUGAUCCAUUAAAACUGAGAGAAUGAAUUGAUAUAGUCUUAAGCCCCUACAUUUUGGAGAAUUUGUUACAUGGCAGUAGAUGACUAAUACACAAGCAGAGUGGUACAAAUGAGUGUGUGAUAGGUGCAGGCAUGAAGGAGAAGCAUGAAACCGCCAUGGUGGGGAAGGGCCACGUCUGAUAGGAGUUCUGAGUGGAGGGCAGGCUUGCAUUGCAUUUUGCAAGCUAAGAAGGAAUUAGGGGAAGAGAAGAA
rnacentral:lncRNA from 1 species